UACGUAGGGGGCAAGCGUUGUCCGGAUUUAUUGGGCGUAAAGAGCGUGUAGGCGGUCAGGUAGGUCCGUUGUGAAAACUCGAGGCUCAACCUCGAGACGCCGAUGGAAACCAUCUGACUAGAGUCCGGAAGAGGAGAGUGGAAUUCCUGGUGUAGCGGUGAAAUGCGCAGAUAUCGGGAGGAACACCUAUGGCGAAGGCAGCUCGCUGGGACGUUACUGACGCUGAGACGCGAAAGCGUGGGGAGCAAACAGG
rnacentral:rRNA from 1 species